GACGAACGCUGGCGGCGUGCUUAACACAUGCAAGUCGAACGAAGAGCGAUGGAAGCUUGCUUCUCUCAAUCUUAGUGGCGAACGGGUGAGUAACGCGUAAUCAACCUGCCCUUCAGAGGGGGACAACAGUUGGAAACGACUGCUAAUACCGCAUACGAUCUAAUCUCGGCAUCGAGGAUAGAUGAAAGGUGGCCUCUACAUGUAAGCUAUCACUGAAGGAGGGGAUUGCGUCUGAUUAGCUAGUUGGAGGGGUAACGGCCCACCAAGGCGAUGAUCAGUAGCCGGUCUGAGAGGAUGAACGGCCACAUUGGGACUGAGACACGGCCCAGACUCCUACGGGAGGCAGCAGUGGGGAAUCUUCCGCAAUGGACGAAAGUCUGACGGAGCAACGCCGCGUGAGUGAUGACGGCCUUCGGGUUGUAAAGUUCGGUUAAUCGGGACGAAAGGCCUUCUUGCGAAUAGUGAGAAGGAUUGACGGUACCGGAAUAGAAAGCCACGGCUAACUACGUG
rnacentral:rRNA from 1 species